AGUGAACGCUGGCGGUAGGCCUAACACAUGCAAGUCGAACGGCAGCACAGUAAGAGCUUGCUCUUACGGGUGGCGAGUGGCGGACGGGUGAGGAAUACAUCGUAAUCUACUUUUUCGUGGGGGAUAACGUAGGGAAACUUACGCUAAUACCGCAUACGACCUACGGGUGAAAGCAGGGGAUCUUCGGACCUUGCGCGAUUGAAUGAGCCGAUGUCGGCUUAGCUAGUUGGCGGGGUAAAGGCCCACCAAGGCGACGAUCCGUAGCUGGACUGAGAGGAUGGUCAGCCACACUGGAAGUGAGACACGGUCCAGACUCCUGCGGGAGGCAGCAGUGGGGAACAUUGGACAAUGGGCGCAAGCAUGAUCCAGCCAGACCGAGUGGGUGAAGAAGGCCUUGGGGUUGUAAAGCCCUUUUGUUGGGAAAGAAAAGCAGCAGGUUAAUACCCCGCUGUUCUGACGGUACCCAAAGAAUAAGCACCGGCUAACUUCGUG
rnacentral:rRNA from 1 species